rnacentral:rRNA from 1 species
CGCGGGAUUAGAGUUUGAUCAUGGCUCAGAUUGAACGCUGGCGGCAGGCCUAACACAUGCAAGUCGAGCGGAAACGAGUUGUUUGAACCUUCGGGGGACGACAACGGCGUCGAGCGGCGGACGGGUGAGUAAUGCCUGGGAAAUUGCCCUGAUGUGGGGGAUAACCAUUGGAAACGAUGGCUAAUACCGCAUGAUAGCUUCGGCUCAAAGAGGGGGACCUUCGGGCCUCUCGCGUCAGGAUAUGCCCAGGUGGGAUUAGCUAGUUGGUGAGGUAAGGGCUCACCAAGGCGACGAUCCCUAGCUGGUCUGAGAGGAUGAUCAGCCACACUGGAACUGAGACACGGUCCAGACUCCUACGGGAGGCAGCAGUGGGGAAUAUUGCACAAUGGGCGCAAGCCUGAUGCAGCCAUGCCGCGUGUAUGAAGAAGGCCUUCGGGUUGUAAAGUACUUUCAGCAGUGAGGAAGAUGGUGUGUUUAAUACGUACAUCAUUUGACGUUAGCUGCAGAAGAAGCACCGGCUAACUCCGUGCCAGCAGCCGCGGUAAUACGGGGGGUGCGAGCGUUAAUCGGAAUUACUGGGCGUAAAGCGCAUGCAGGUGGUUUGUUAAGUCAGAUGUGAAGGCCCGGGGCUCAACCUCGGAAUAGCAUUUGGAACUGGCAGACUAGAGUACUGUAGAGGGGGGUAGAAUUUCA